rnacentral:tRNA from 1 species
GGAGGGGUGGCCGAGUGGCUUAAGGCGCACGCUUGGAAAGCGUGUUUAGGGUUAAACCUAACGUGGGUUCGAAUCCCAUCCCCUCCGCCA